UUCAGGAGGGAGGUUUUAUAAAGCAGGAGCCACAGAGGGGGAAGUGAGCCCUAAGGAGCUGGAGGUGUUGCAGGCUGCUCUGGCGUGGUGCUUGUGGGCAGCUGUAAGGAAGCCAGCAGUUUUAAAAAGUCUUUCAUGACCAUGCAGCAUAAAAUAUGACCUCACUGAGGAGUAUAUUCACUGACAGAGCUUGGAAAGGCCACCAAGAUGGACCCUUUCAGGAGCCAGAUAACAGAUGUACUCGAGCAUUUUAAAAGAGCAGAAUGAAAUCCUUCCUGGACUAUUAACAAUAACGUUGCGUACCCUUCAGUGCACUGAGAACAUUCCAGAGGAGAAGAGUUUGUGCCAGAGUUUGCAAAACAUGACAAGGGUGAGCUGAAUUGCUAGAGGUUUGUCAGCUGGCAGUUUCAGACAAAAUCAUCGAUAGGCUGAAUUGAAGGUGUUAAAAAA